CGACGGGCAGAGGGUAGGGGCACGGGGGAGGCAGAGCCCCCAGAGCUGGCUGGAUCCUGGCCUGCUGCCCUCAGAUCGGAGCCAGAAGCUGUCCCUGGCCUUCAGGAGUAAGAACGCCCCGAGGCAAGAGCUGCCUCACGCCUGGACCCGGCCGCGGGGAAUUGCUUGGUCGGCAGGACAGCUGGGGUUUCUGUUACCUGCAUUCCCUGCCCCUCAUUCCCCUUGUCAACAGCUUGCAACUAAAGGUGUCUGGCCUACGGAAACACUCUGUAUCAAGACACAAGAGCAAUGAUAUUUCGAGCAACUCCUGCUUUGUAAGGGAGGGUGUCCCUGUCCCAGGUGAUGGAUGGGGCUGUCUAGGCGUUGAGCUGUGAAGUCACUUAGCAGUUCUCUCAGGGUGCCCGGGAGUGGGGGGCCUGGAAACCACUGGUGCGGGACCUCCCCUCUACUCAGAGAGACAGCUCCAGGGGUCACCGGCCCCCUCGGCUGCACGUGUGUGGGCACCACCUGGCCCGUCUGCAGCCGCAGAUCACUGCCUUGAGAGCCUUCCAGUUUUAUCAUCUUUGGAGCCUUUUCCCGGCGGGACCUGAGGCCCCUCCCCCCACUCCGCUGCCCCCCCCCCCAAACAGUUCCAAUCCAUAGAGGGCUGGGGAGUGGGGGGCAAGACUGGCUGGAAAAACUCAUCAGAUAGAAUGCCCGGGAGAAGAAGAAUUUCCCCUUGGAUUGAAGUUGACUGUUUUCCAUUCGCCCUCCAGACAGCCAAUCUCUUUUCACCAAAGAGCUGCAUUUUUCAGACUCUUUUUUUCCUGGUCCUCCAGUGGCCUCUUGGAUGGGAUGGCGGGAAAGCUUCCCUGGCUAGGAAGAUGCUUGGGGCUGCAGCAAAGGGGCUCGCCUCCCGGGGUUCCUGUCCCCUUCCUCAGCCGCUGGCAAAAGGCCGAGGAGGAGAAAAUUGACUCCACCACAAGGGCCUGUGGACACCUCCGCAGAGAAAUUCGUCUUUUGUUGGGGGAAGCCCAGAUGGAAUCUCGGAGCUGGGAAAUAGAUCUGUUUGCUCGCUGUC